UACGUAGGGUGCGAGCGUUGUCCGGAAUUAUUGGGCGUAAAGGGCUCGUAGGCGGUUUGUCACGUCGGGAGUGAAAACUCGGGGCUUAACUCCGAGCCUGCUUCCGAUACGGGCUGACUAGAGGUAUGCAGGGGAGAACGGAAUUCCUGGUGUAGCGGUGAAAUGCGCAGAUAUCAGGAGGAACACCGGUGGCGAAGGCGGUUCUCUGGGCCUUACCUGACGCUGAGGAGCGAAAGCGUGGGGAGCAAACAGG
rnacentral:rRNA from 1 species